GCGAGAGCCCAAUCACCCAGCGCCACAUUCCCCGGCCAUCAUUAAAUACUCCGAAAAUCGUUCGCCGGUGCUUCGGGUCAUGUGCAUAGUGAUGAAUCGAAUUGUUUAAUUUCAGCCGUACACAUAGAGUAGCUAGGUUCCACUCUAAUCAAUAGUAAUGGCCCUUUCGUCAAUCUCGCGGCUGCACCUCUCCUGGUGCGUCGUCGCGUUGUCAAUAAUUAGCUUGUACAAAGUUGAAUGUAUCGCAGUCAUGUCUGUGGACCUUGGUGUCGAAUGGAUGAAAGUUGCCAUUGUUUCUCCUGGAGUUCCUAUGGAAAUUGCCUUAAACAA